AUUGAACGCUGGCGGCAUGCUUUACACAUGCAAGUCGGACGGCAGCACAGAGAAGCUUGCUUCUUGGGUGGCGAGUGGCGAACGGGUUAGUAAUAUAUCGGAACGUACCGAGUAAUGGGGGAUAACUAAUCGAAAGAUUAGCUAAUACCGCAUAUUCUCUGAGGAUGAAAGCAGUGGACCUUCGGGCCUUUCGUUUUUCCAUCGGCCGAUAUCUGAUUAGCUAGUUGGUGGGGUAAAGGCCUACCAAGGCGACGAUCAGUAGCGGGUCUGAGAGGAUGAUCCGCCACACUGGGACUGAGACACGGCCCAGACUCCUACGGGAGGCAGCAGUGGGGAAUUUUGGACAAUGGGCGCAAGCCUGAUCCAGCCAUGCCGCGUGUCUGAAGAAGGCCUUCGGGUUGUAAAGGACUUUUGUCAGGGAAGAAAAGGCUGUUGCUAAUACCGACAGCUGAUGACGGUACCUGAAGAAUAAGCACCGGCUAACUACGUG
rnacentral:rRNA from 1 species